AAGGGUCUUCGGAUUGUUAAAGGCACCUUUUGGUCAGGGACGGAUGAUGACGGUACCUGCAGAAUAAGCCCCGGCUAACUUCGUGC
rnacentral:rRNA from 1 species